rnacentral:rRNA from 1 species
UACGUAGGCAGCGAGCGUUGUUCGGAGUUACUGGGCGUAAAGGGUGUGUAGGCGGUUGUUUAAGUUUGGUGUGAAAUCUCCCGGCUCAACUGGGAGGGUGCGCCGAAUACUGAAUGACUAGAGUGCGGGAGAGGAAAGUGGAAUUCCUGGUGUAGCGGUGAAAUGCGCAGAUAUCAGGAGGAACACCGGUGGCGAAGGCGGAUCUCUGGGCUUGUCCUGACGCUGAGGCGCGAAAGCUAGGGGAGCGAACAGG